GAAAGGCUAAAAGUAGGGUCAGGGUUAGUGUUAGUGAAUGUUUUUAAAACAAAGUCAAUAAAACUCAAAGUAUGGAUCGACUAGUCAUGACUAGCUUUGCGGAUGCAUGACUACACAAGUGCGCGCGCCGUGACGUCUAUACUCAAGUAGUCCCGCCCCUUCGUCUGUGCCAUAAGAGAAGUUUGUUUCAGUGAAUGAGGUCGUUUACCAAAACUGAAGAAUUACGUCUGGAAAUCUUUCGGCUUUGGCUGCAGAAGCGUCGAAUUUGAUCAGCGGAUUCUGAUGUAGAGAAACUAAGUUCCUUUUGUUGCUUGCAUUUCCCAGUUGAUUCUUGAAAAUUUCCAUUGCAUCAAGCCAUAAGUACAAGAAACUAAGUUCCUUUUCUUGCUUGUAUUUCAAUAUUUUUAUCCCCAUAAAAACAUUUAUGCUAUUAAAACAAAUUGGUUUGAAAAUUUGAUUUUUUGUGGAAUUCUUGUUUAAGUACCCCAUAUGACCCCUCAUAACCUUUUUUAACUUUUUGGAAUUUAAAAAUAAAUUCAGCACAUUUUCAGUGAAAUAUUCAAAAAUAUAGUUUUUUAAUUUUAUAUUUCAGCUUAUGUAGAGAAACUAAGUUCCUUUUCUUGCUUGUAUUUCAAUAUUUUUA